AGGAUGAACGCUGGCGGCGUGCUUAACACAUGCAAGUCGAACGGUGAAGUGAGGAGCUUGCUCCUUGCGGAUCAGUGGCGAACGGGUGAGUAACACGUGAGUAACCUGCCCUUGACUCUGGGAUAAGCGUUGGAAACGACGUCUAAUACCGGAUACGACCUCCGAAGGCAUCUUCUGGAGGUGGAAAGAAUUUUCGGUCAAGGAUGGACUCGCGGCCUAUCAGCUAGUUGGUGAGGUAAUGGCCCACCAAGGCGACGACGGGUA
rnacentral:rRNA from 1 species